ensembl:misc_RNA Metazoa_SRP Metazoan signal recognition particle RNA
GCCAGGUGUGUUGGCAUGCACCUGUAAUCCCAGCUACUAGGGAGGCUGAGGCAGGAGAAUCGCUUGAACCCAGGAGGUGGAGGUUGCAGUGAGCUGAGAUUGUGCCACUGCACUCCAGCCUGGGCAACAGAGAGAGAUUCUGUCUCAA